GGAAUAUAAGAACCCGUCUCUUAACUUUUAACUAAAAAAGCUAAGAACCGGUUUUUAAAUAAGAGUUUUAAGAGCCGGUUCUUAACUUUUUUAGUUAAAAGUUAAGAGACGGAUUCUUAUAUUCC
rnacentral:pre_miRNA from 1 species